AUUUCAGUGAGGUUAAUCCUUGCCUGUUUCUGCUUUCGGAGAAGUGGAAUGUGAUGAUUUGGGUUAAUGCGGUUGUGAUUAAACUAUUCAUGUAUGUAGAGUGCAGCAAUCUCUAUGGUACCACAGUUUGAU